rnacentral:rRNA from 1 species
AGAAUCAACGCUGGCGGCGUGCCUAACACAUGCAAGUCGCACGAGAAAGGGUAGCAAUACCUGAGUAAAGUGGCGCACGGGUGAGUAACACGUGACUAAUCUACCCUCGAGUGGGGAAUAACUGAGAGAAAUCUUAGCUAAUACCGCAUAACACUUACGAGUCAAAGCAGCAAUGCGCUUGGGGAGGAGGUCGCGGCCGAUUAGCUAGUUGGCGGGUAAUGGCCCACAAGGCGAUGAUCGGUA